rnacentral:rRNA from 1 species
GUCGCUACUACCGAUUGAAUGGCUCAGUGAGGCUUCCGGACUGGCCCAGGGAGGUCGGCAACGACCACCCAGGGCCGGAAAGCUAUCCAAACUCGGUCAUUUAGAGGAAGUAAAAGUCGUAACAAGGUCUCCGUUGGUGAACCAGCGGAGGGAUCAUU